CCUACGGGAGGCAGCAGUGAGGAAUAUUGGUCAAUGGACGAAAGUCUGAACCAGCCAAGUCGCGUGAAGGAUGACUGCCCUAUGGGUUGUAAACUUCUUUUAUAUGGGAAUAAAAUGUUCCACGUGUGGGAUUUUGUAUGUACCAUAUGAAUAAGGAUCGGCUAACUCCGUGCCAGCAGCCGCGGUAAUACGGAGGAUCCGAGCGUUAUCCGGAUUUAUUGGGUGUAAAGGGAGCGUAGGUGGAUUGUUAAGUCAGUUGUGAAAGUUUGCGGCUCAACCGUAAAAUUGCAGUUGAAACUGGCAGUCUUGAGUACAGUAGAGGUGGGCGGAAUUCGUGGUGUAGCGGUGAAAUGCUUAGAUAUCACGAAGAACUCCGAUGGCGAAGGCAGCUGACUGGACUGCAACUGACACUGAGGCUCGAAAGUGUGGGGAGCAAACAGGAUUAGAUACCCUUGUAGUC
rnacentral:rRNA from 1 species